rnacentral:rRNA from 1 species
GUAGGUGGCAAGCGUUGUCCGGGAAUUAUUGGGGCGUAAAGCGCGCGCAGGCGGUUCUUUAAGUCUGAUGUGAAAGCCCACGGGCUCAACCGUGGAGGGUCAUUGGAAACUGGAGAACUUGAGUACAGAAGAGGAAAGCGGAAUUCCACGUGUAGCGGUGAAAUGCGUAGAGAUGUGGAGGAACACCAGUGGCGAAGGCGGCUUUCUGGUCUGUAACUGACGCUGAGGCGCGGAAGCGUGGGGAGCAAACAGGAUUAGAUACCCUGGUAGUCCACGCCGUAAACGAUGAGUGCUAAGUGUUAGGGGGUUUCCGCCCCUUAGUGCUGCAGCUAACGCAUUAAGCACUCCGCCUGGGGAGUACGGCCGCAAAGGCUGA